UACGGAGGGUGCGAGCGUUGUCCGGAUUUAUUGGGUUUAAAGGGUGCGUAGGCGGCCUAUUAAGUCCGGGGUGAAAGCCCGUUGCUCAACAACGGAACUGCCCUGGAUACUGGUAGGCUUGAGUACAGGCGAGGUUGGCGGAAUGGACGGAGUAGCGGUGAAAUGCAUAGAUACCGUCCAGAACCCCGAUUGCGAAGGCAGCUGACUAGGCUGUAACUGACGCUGAGGCACGAAAGCGUGGGGAGCGAACAGG
rnacentral:rRNA from 1 species